rnacentral:misc_RNA from 1 species
UACAAGUGACCCCGGUUUUACCACCGGGAUGUUCAUAACCCUUUGUUGUCUGACUCUGUUGCCUCCGGGGCGACCCUGCCUUCGGGCGGGGGCUCCGGGUGGACACUUCAAACUCUUGCGUAACUUUGCAGUCUGAGUAAACUUAAUUAAUAAAUUAAAACUUUUAACAACGGAUCUCUUGGUUCUGGCAUCGAUGAAGAACGCAGCGAAAUGCGAUAAGUAAUGUGAAUUGCAGAAUUCAGUGAAUCAUCGAAUCUUUGAACGCACAUUGCGCCCCCUGGUAUUCCGGGGGGCAUGCCUGUUCGAGCGUCAUUUCACCACUCAAGCCUCGCUUGGUAUUGGGCAACGCGGUCCGCCGCGUGCCUCAAAUCGACCGGCUGGGUCUUCUGUCCCCUAAGCGUUGUGGAAACUAUUCGCUAAAGGGUGUUCGGGAGGCUACGCCGUAAAACAACCCCAUUUCUAAGGUUGACCUCGGAUCAGGUAGGGAUACCCGCUGAACUUAAGCAUAUCAAUAA